GCACUGAGGCAAAAAGAGUGAGAGUGAACGAUGCGGUCGCCCCUCCCCCUCUCUGACCGGCACCAAAGGUGGGCGUGGCGCUUGCGGCUGGCCCCGUGCGAUUGGUCGGCUGAGGCUGAGCGUAUAGGCAUAGAUGAAUAACACACUUCUCCUUAUUUAUAUUCACAUCCUUGCCAAAGGCUGCUGCUUAUUUCCAGAGGAAAAGAGAAACUAUGACAACAGGAUGAGAUGUCCAAAUUAUGUACACACAGAACAGAGUGUAGAGACAUGGAAUUACUUGAUGUAAUUUUUAGAGUGACAAGAAAACUGUGAAUGGAUCAGCCAUACCUGUCAGCUCCACAAAGCCGCAUGGGACCAAAUAGGGAAGGCGUUUUAAUAGGAAACAUGCUUUAUAUAUAAGCAUUUAUUUUCCCUUAAAAGAGAAUAUUAGGACAUUUACGACCAGUCUCUUCAUAUUGUAUUUUUACAUAUAGGGGGUAAUUUACAUGGUGAGCAAAAUGCAUAUAUACACUGUAUUUUACACAGCAAUUUUAGGCAUUCAUAUUGAUUUGUGGUUUCCUUGGAAUAUGCCUUCUCAGCAGUGAUGUGCAGGUCAGGAAAACCCUAACCUGCACCCGACCCUAAUCUGCACACGACCCUAACCAGCAAAUGUUGUCAUUGUAGGACCUGCACCUGACUGUAACCUAUGAAAUUUUGCCAUCAUAGGACCCGCACCUCAAAAUGUUGCAAUUGUAGGACUUGGAAAUGUUGCCAUAGCAGGACCCAUACCCGAUUUUAACCCAUAACAUGUCAUCGUAGGACCCACACCCAACCAUAACCCCGCAAAAUGUUGCCAUUGUACGACCCACACCCGAGCCUAAACCUCAAAAUGUUGCAAUUGUAGGACUUGCAGUCAAUCCUAACCCACGAAAUGUUGCCAUAGCAGGACCGGCACCCGAUUCUAACCCAUAAAAUGUUGUCAUUGUAGGACCCACAACCAACCCUAACCCCACAAAAUGUUGCCAUCAUAGGACCCGCACCUGACCCUAACCUGCAAAAUGCUGCCAUAGUAGGACCCAACCCUAACCUGCAAAAUGUUGUCAUUGUUGGACCCAUAACCAACCCUAACCCACAAUAUGUUGCCAUUGUAGGACCAGCACCCUACACUAACCUGCCAUUGUAGGACCCAUAAUGACCCAUACCGCACAAAAUGUUGCCAUUGUAGGAUCCUCAUACAACCCUAGCCCUCAAAAUGUUGCCAUUAUAGGACCUGCAACCAACCCUAAUGUGCAAAAUGUUGACAUUAAAGGACCUGCACCAGACCUGCACCAGCAAAUCAGGGGCACCAGCAUAUUCUAAUGAGCAAGUGGAGGCAUUUUGCAGAGUAAGUGUCUAGACAGAGUGGCAGGGUGGGCAUGAUGCUCUCCCGAUGACGUCCCUCUGCUAGUGUAAGCCGGCUGCUCAUGUGUUCAUGGGGAGGUGGAACUCUUGGCACAAUAAACUUAAAAAUUAACAAGUUACUGUGUGCACUGGAGGAACAGUUUAACUCACACCCAACCUGAAUCUGUUAAAUGUACCGAUAGUUUAUCUCAAACCCACCCGAUCUACAGGUUUUGGGCUAUCCCGCACAUCACUCUCAGACCUUGCGGAGAGAUUACUUCAGGGAAUAAUAAUUAAACCAAGUCUUGCCUCUGGUUUAGAUAUAAUAAAUAUCCUUUUAGUGUUCCAUUCCAUUACUGAAGACAAGAUUGAAAGAGCAAUUACUGCUUCUGCAGCACCAGUAACUGUGCCAAUCAACACAGCAUGUUUCGGACACCUGACAAAGGAGGGCCAGCCCUGAAACAUGUGUGGAUCUGCACCAUAAACGGCAUUGCAGAAGCAGUUAUUGCUCUUUCAGUAUAGUUUUUAGAUUAGAUGUGCCACUAGAGUGCUAAUUCAUUGGUGGAACCUGACUGCUCAGCGUUUACAGCAUUGUCUUUUCUUGUGCUACUCCACUAGCCUUUACAAGCAGGGUGUCAGGCUCUUUUCCAUUGUGACCCUAAAAUGAAUCAAGUAUAUUCAAGUUACACCACUCCUCCUCAGUCUAAAGGAAAGCCACUUUGGUGAGAAUGCUUUUCACCACCACUCUUCCUGUAUUCCUGAAAGAUUCCUGGGAAUGUCAGCAUAGGUAGCAUGAUUCCCACUGAAACUGAAAUGUGAUAAUUUUGUCCUCCUCAACUCUUCUUGAGAGAGCCUUGAAGGUCAAGGCACUCAUUGUAACAUUAACCUAUAGAGUAGUCUACUGGCUUAUACUCAUGUACAAACAAAAUGUACAGGCACCCAAUCCCAUUGAGUUCCAAAGACCAUUAGAAGUAGCCUUCAAGAUGUUGUUCUACAGUUUGCACAUUACAGAGUAGUUUGGUCUUCACCAGAACAAGUUCUUGGUCAGAACAGGCCUAUUGCUUGGUCCUGAGAAGAUCAUGUUACCAUUUCCUAAUUAAGUCAUGGACCAUCAUUUAUAAUUCCGCUGACUGACUAGUGGUUGUUUUGAAAGCUCUCUGUUGAAAUAUUCUUUUAUAGGGCAAGAUGCCACUUCCAGUGAAGAAGGUGAGCAGUCAGCUGUAUACUGGACUAGGUGUGGAGAGCAACGCCAAAGCCUCUAUUGACAGUCUUCCAAGAAUAAAAGUAGCAUCAAUUAAUGCUGAUGCAAUGUUGCAGAACAUGUUUGUGCUUUGGAAACGCUCUUAAUACAGCAGUGAAAUAUUUUUCAAAUAAGAUCAGAAAGUGACUCAUUGCUUUCGUCUGUAAAUGGAUGCCUGGAUGAAUGAGUCUCCGAUGUGCUUUGAAAUGUUGGCAAACUGCAUGAAUUAAAUUGAUGCCUCUAUGA